rnacentral:rRNA from 1 species
UACGUAGGCAGCAAGCGUUUGUUCGGAGUUACUGGGCGUAAAGGGUGUGUAGGCGGUCUUCUAAGUUUGGUGUGAAAGUCUCCCGGCUCAACUGGGAGGGUGCGCCGAAAACUGGGAGGCUAGAGUGCGGGAUGGGAGAGUGGAAUUCCUGGUGUAGCGGUGAAAUGCGUAGAUAUCAGGAGGAACACCGGUGGCGAAGGCGGUUCUCUGGGAAUGUCCUGACGCUGAGGAGCGAAAGUGUGGGGGAGCGAACAGG